CCGCGCCAGUGGUUGUGGAGUCAAUCUUGAAAUACCACCCUUGUAUGCUUGAUGUUCUAACGUUGGCCCCUUAUCGGGGUUACGGACAGUGCCUGGUGGGUAGUUUGACUGGGGCGGUCUCCUCCCAAAGAGUAACGGAGGAGCACGAAGGUGGGCUAAUCACGGUCGGACAUCGUGAGGUUAGUGCAAUGGCAUAAGCCCGCUUGACUGCGAGAAUGACAAUUCGAGCAGGUGCGAAAGCAGGUCAUAGUGAUCCGGUGGUUCUGAAUGGAAGGGCCAUCGCUCAACGGAUAAAAGGUACUCCGGGGAUAACAGGCUGAUACCGCCCAAGAGUUCAUAUCGACGGCGGUGUUUGGCACCUCGAUGUCGGCUCAUCACAUCCUGGGGCUGAAGUCGGUCCCAAGGGUAUGGCUGUUCGCCAUUUAAAGUGGUACGCGAGCUGGGUUUAGAACGUCGUGAGACAGUUCGGUCCCUAUCUGCCGUGGGCGUUGGAUGAUUGAGAGGGGCUGCUCCUAGUACGAGAGGACCGGAGUGGACGAACCGCUGGUGUUCGGGUUGUGUCGCCAGACGCAUUGCCCGGUAGCUAAGUUCGGAAUCGAUAACCGCUGAAAGCAUCUAAGCGGGAAGCGAGCCUCAAGAUGAGUCAUCCCUAGACCUUUAAGGUCUCUAAAGGGUUGUUGAAGACUACAACGUUGAUAGGUCGGGUGUGUAAGUGCUGUGAGGCAUUGAGCUAACCGAUACUAAUUGCCCGUGAGGCUUAACCAUACAACACCC
rnacentral:rRNA from 1 species